rnacentral:rRNA from 1 species
UACGUAGGGUGCGAGCGUUGUCCGGAAUUACUGGGCGUAAAGAGCUCGUAGGUGGUUUGUCGCGUUGUUCGUGAAAACUCACAGCUUAACUGUGGGCGUGCGGGCGAUACGGGCAGACUGGAGUACUGCAGGGGAGACUGGAAUUCCUGGUGUAGCGGUGGAAUGCGCAGAUAUCAGGAGGAACACCGGUGGCGAAGGCGGCCAUCUGGACCGGUUCUGACGCUGAGGCGCGAAAGCGUGGGGAGCAAACAGG